CAAUUUACAUGACUACAAGAAUAUAGUAGAGCCUCCACACAAGAAGUACAAAAUGUAAACUAUCUAAACUCCAUUUUCAAAAUUAUUUUUUCUUAAUUUCUAAUAUAGAUCCUAUAAUACUUUUAUUUCUUCUUUAUACACAAUCUUGUAGUACUAUUCAAAAGACAAUCCAUCAAAAUCUACAAACAACUACUAAUCCUCUCUCAUACUCUUUUUUAUCAUAGGCAUCUUAUAAAUCUUGAUUUUCUAUCCAUUUCUUCUAAGCUCUACAAACAACUUAUAGAAAAAAACAAUAGCUAGUAUAAAUUACUUACAUCUUUUGCAUUCAAAACUAAUUUAGACCAAAUUAUAGUUUCACUUGCCUUCAUAAAUAAUUUGCUUAAAAAACUAGUCUUUGCCCUUAAUUCCACCACCACCUCUUCAAUCAAAUUAUUUUCAAUAGCUUUGGCUCUCAAUUUCUUGUUAACUGUAAUUGAUAACAAGUAAAAAGAAGAACAAUCUUUGACUUGGUCACCUUAAUUGUCAAUGAAGGAUAGACAUUGUAUAGAAUUAUUGAAGUAGUAGCAACAAAAGUAAAACCAAUCAAUAUUAGAGGAACAACAAAAAAAAGAAUUGAGCUUGAAAAAUACAAACAAAAGAGUGAAGCUUAGACAAAUUGACAAAAAAAGAACUAAAAUUGUAAAAACCUAAUUUUUUUUGCGGCAUCUAGAAUAUUAAAGGACUC
rnacentral:lncRNA from 1 species